rnacentral:rRNA from 1 species
AGUGAACGCUGGCGGUAGGCCUAACACAUGCGAGUCGAACGGCAGCACAGUAAGAGCUUGCUCUUACGGGUGGCGAGUGGCGGACGGGUGAGGAAUACAUCGGAAUCUACUUUUUCGUGGGGGAUAACGGAGGGAAACUUACGCUAAUACCGCAUACGACCUACGGGUGAAAGCAGGGGAUCUUCGGACCUUGCGCGAUUGAAUGAGCCGAUGUCGGAUUAGCUAGUUGGCGGGGUAAAGGCCCACCAAGGCGACGAUCCGUAGCUGGUCUGAGAGGAUGAUCAGCCACACUGGAACUGAGACACGGUCCAGACUCCUACGGGAGGCAGCAGUGGGGAAUAUUGGACAAUGGGCGCAAGCCUGAUCCAGCCAUACCGCGUGGGUGAAGAAGGCCUUCGGGUUGUAAAGCCCUUUUGUUGGGAAAGAAAAGCAGCAGGUUAAUACCCCGCUGUUCUGACGGUACCCAAAGAAUAAGCACCGGCUAACUUCGUG